CUCCGCGCUGCUGCCAAUUGCCGAACUCGCCACGAGCCCACCGCUCCACCUCACCCUCGCCAUCCACUCCACCACCAGCUGCUCCAGCCGCGGCGCCUUUUGUUUACCGGCCGCUGCUCAUAAUUGCGUGCCCGCGUCGUUGCUUUUCCCUCCCGCCCCCGGCCCCGGCCGCCUACCCCCACCCCCUCCCUCCGCCUCUCUUAUAUCACUCGCCACCGCCGCCCAGCUCGCCCGCUACUGCUCCUAGCUCGCUCCUNNNNNNNCUGUAAAGCACCACCGUGGUACACCUACGCGGUGUGUGCGUGUGUGUCGUCUCUGUUCGGUCGCUCCGGCGAGAUGAAGCUCCCGCUGUCGGCGGGGUCGCCCGACGCGGCGCCGGAGAUGGCCAAGCCGUCGCUGCCGGCGACGUGGCUCAUCCUGCACGCGCUCUUCUGCGCCACCUCCAUGGCCGUCGGCUUCCGCUUCUCGCGCCUCGUCGUCUUCCUCCUCUUCCUGCCCACGCCGCCCAUGAACCCCUCCGCGCACCUCGUCUCCCUCGUCACCCCGCCCGUCAUGCUCGCCAGCUCCAACGCCACCGCCACCAUCACUACUACUACUACGACCACCACCACCGUCACGACGACGACCACGGUGGCUGAGAGCGAGGCCGGAUCCAACGCGCACCACCAGGUCCACCACGGCCCGGUCUUCGUCGGCCGCCACGCCAUCCGCGUCCGCAAGUGGCCGCACCCGAACCCCGGCGAGCUCCUCAAGGCCCACAGCAUCCUCGCCGCCGUCCAGGAAGCGCAGCGCCGCAGCCGCAACCGCCUGGCCGACCCGCUCAGGCCCGUGAUUGCCGUCACCCCGACCACCACCUCCGCGCUCCAGGCGCCGUCGCUCACGUCCCUGGCGCACACCCUCCGCCUCGUCGACGCCCCGCUCAGGUGGAUCGUCGUCGAGCCUGGCCACCGCACCGACGCCGUCGCCGCCGUGCUCGCCCGCUCCGGCCUCGACUUCCUCCACCUCGUCGCCUCCGACGGCGCCUCCACCGCGCGCCUGCGAAUGCACGCCCUCAGGGAGGUACGGAAGGAGAAGAUGGACGGCGUGGUGGUGUUCGCGGACGAGAACGGCAUCCUCCGGACGGAGCUGUUCGACGAGGCGCAGAAGGUCAAGUCCGUGGGCGCCGUGCCGGUGGGCAUUCUGGGCGAGGACGAAGGCACCAAGGAGUCCUUCCUGCAGGCGCCGGCCUGCGACGAGGCCGGGAAGCUGGUGGGCUACCACGUAUCGGAGGAGACGCUGCUGCCGGCGGCGCGGAGCGACAUGCUGCUGUCCACCCGGCUGGAGUGGGCCGGGUUCGUGGUGAACGCGCGGGUGCUCUGGGAGGGCGCGGCGGAGCGGCCCGAGUGGGUGCGCGACCUGGACGCCGUGGACGGCGGCGCGCACCUGGACAGCCCGCUGGCGCUGGUCACCGACGCCGGCCAGGUGGAGCCGCUCGCCAGAUGCGCCCAGGCGGCGCUGGCGUGGUCGCUCCGGUCAGACGCUCUGCAUGAAGUCAAGUUCCCGCAUGAGUGGAAAUUUGAUGCUCCUCUAGUAAGCGCCGCUUCGCGUCAGCAGAGCAGCGUAGUAAAUACUGAAGAUGGUCACUAGAGCAGCAAAAUUUUUGUGGGCAAUAGAAAUCAGGGCAAAAUCAGACUGCUACGGCUCGUCUGAUUUGUGUGAGUCUCCUCUGAUGCAUCCUUGUACCAAGACAUCUCAACUCUUGAGUAACAUAAGGCAGCUCAGCUCAUUUGUUGGGACCCUACAGAAAGUCACAGACCAUACAUCUGAAUCCAUGUUCUGUAUCAUCCUGUAAAAAUAGAUAAAAAAAAGUUUAAUUAUAUGCACCAUUCAUGGCUUCUCUAAUAGGAAGAGUUCUCUUAGGCGCAUUUUUUUCGUGUAAUAUAGGUCAGAGCUGAUGGGCUCGCCAAAUUGGUCUGGGGUUAAGACAUUUGUUUGUGUAAUGGUGUGAAAUAAUAACGAUCCAGCUCUCAGUUUUCUAAUACUCCCUUUGUCCUACAAUGCAAGGCGAUGUUGCAAGUUAUGUUGCUUGCAAAAACGUCUUAUGUUAUGGGAUGGAAGGGGUACUAUAUACAUUUUUUUCUUUUAU
rnacentral:rRNA from 1 species